rnacentral:ncRNA from 1 species
UUCAUUCACUAGGGGUGCCCUUGUUAAGGGCUGAGAUCAAAGUUUAACUUUGAGACUCUUUGAACCUGAACUGGUUUAAACCAGCGGAGGAAAGUGACGAAAUAAGCUU